AUCUGUGGAUCCCUGGAGGUGCAAUUACCCUGUCAUGUGCAUGUGCUUGGCAGCCACCACCUAUCCUGGCUGAUACUGCUGUCCCCAUUUUACAGUCUCUUCAAACAGGAUAAUCCAAAAAGUAUUUACAAGGUUCUAGUGAUUGAGCAACCAGAAGCUGCCCUUUGCAAUGCUGUAGAGAAAAAGCACCUAUAUCCAUGGAAGCAUGGGAGUGGCAAUGAGAAGGCAGGGAUUCAGGUUAUCUUGGUAUUGGAUAUGGUACAAAAAACAUCAUGUAACAAUUUAUAUGGAAUAUAAAAAAGAGAGAAAAAAUUAUUAAG
ensembl:lncRNA